rnacentral:rRNA from 1 species
GAUGAACGCUGGCGGCGUGCCUAAUACAUGCAAGUCGAGCGAACAGACGAGGAGCUUGCUCCUCUGACGUUAGCGGCGGACGGGUGAGUAACACGUGGAUAACCUACCUAUAAGGCUGGGAUAACUUCGGGAAACCGGAGCUAAUACCGGAUAAUAUAUUGAACCGCAUGGUUCAAUAGUGAAAGACGGUUUUGCUGUCACUUAUAGAUGGAUCCGCGCCGCAUUAGCUAGUUGGUAAGGUAACGGCUUACCAAGGCAACGAUGCGUAGCCGACCUGAGAGGGUGAUCGGCCACACUGGAACUGAGACACGGUCCAGACUCCUACGGGAGGCAGCAGUAGGGAAUCUUCCGCAAUGGGCGAAAGCCUGACGGAGCAACGCCGCGUGAGUGAUGAAGGUCUUCGGAUCGUAAAACUCUGUUAUUAGGGAGGAACAAAUGUGUAAGUAACUAUGCACGUCUUGACGGUACCUAAUCAGAAAGCCACGGCUAACUACGUG